CCGCGACCCCAGGUCAGGCGGGACUACCCGCUGAGUUUAAGCAUAUAAAUAAGCGGAGGAGAAGAAACUUACGAGGAUUCCCCUAGUAACGGC
rnacentral:rRNA from 5 species